CCGUCUCCAUGGCGCCCGGCAAACAUUUCUGAGCUUCGGCGCUACCCGCUAACGCCCGGGGUUGGGGAACAGGGGCUCCAGAAGCAGCCUGGAAAGGGGUGGUCGACAACUCCCAAGCCCGUCGCCACCAUGCCCGUUUCUCCGACAAACAGCCGCAAGCAGCCAAACCUCUCGCCGUAAGUUCCGGCGCGAAAACCCGUAGUCAAUUCCCGUGGGCAGCCGAGGGAGCCCUUCUAGAUACUCUUCCUAGAUUUGGAAAGGGGUCAUUUUACUGCAUCUGGGUAUGGUCAACAGCCUGAAUCUCCCAGGCGGCAGUGGUUCCUUUUCUCGCUUGGAGCAGCCUUUUAAAAAUCAAUAGUGCUCUGCUUGCUCUGAGAAGACCUGGUUUUGUUUAGGACCACUUGUCCUAGUACUUAGAGUUUGGGGGCGCCCCGCCCCCCCCAAUCUACAUUCUAGUUUGAUGCUUCUAUGCUGUGCUCACAUGCUCAGGUUCAUCAGCUUCUGGAACCCCAGAUCAAACAUCGUUAUGCUUGAUACUAGAUGAUUUUGUUUUUUAACCACCCUGCCUUAAAAUUCUGCUGACUUAUCUCGCUUGUAACUUGAAACGGUUCCUUUGGGCUGCUCACUAAAUUCCACUGAAGUUCCCCAGUUUAUUUAUCUCUCUGGCACUUCCAGAUCACUUUUGUUCUCUCUUCACAAACCUUCAACAUCCCUUUCUCCAAUCUUCUUCAGCGCAAUUGAUCUUUUUUUCAUCGCAACUUGUUGAAAGUUCUUGGAAGAGAACCUCUGUUCACCUUUGAAUAUGGUACUCUGGCUUUUGUCCAUCCUACCACUCCACCAAAAAAGGCCUUUUUGUGAAAGUCAACAGUAGCCAUCCAGCCAAACACAGUAGCCAGUUUACACUUUUGUUCUUAACUGACCCAUUAGCAGCUCUGAUCUAAUUGAUCACUUCUUGAGUUUUGAAAUACUUCAUUUUGUUUUCGCUCUUCCCUAGAUGUUCCCCUGGUUCAUGGCUACUUCUUGUAAAAUACUUAACUGGGAUCUGCUCACCUGUCCCAUAACUGAACAUCAAGAGUGUUGCUGGGUCAUUCCUUAACCUGUUCUCUUCACUACUGCCUUAUGCCUUUUAAAAUCACUGAUAAGGGUAAUUCACAAGUUUUAGCUCUAUCCAAGACCUCCCAAGAAAAAGGAAACAUCUGCACUUAGAAAUUAUAAGACACCUCAAAAUUUAUAUUCAAAACCAAAAUCCUUCUUUUGCAAGUCUUUCCCAUUUUAGUAAAUGGUGAAUUCCACUUGGCAGUUUCUGAGGUGAAAAACUCUGGAGUACCUUGGACUUCUCUCUUAUACCCCAAUAAAUCAAUGAUUUUUACCUGCAAAAUACGUUGAGACUAGCAGUAUCAUAUAACUCAUUGUCACAUUAUGGUGCCUAAUCUUUUUCCCAGCACCCUCCAUAAAGUUUUUAUUGUGAUUUGUCUGCUAAAAACCUUCCUCAAGUUUUUUCAUAUUUUACUAGAGUAAAUGCUCACAUUCUUACAGGGUGUUACUUGGGUAUUUUACUCUCAGCAUGCUUUGUUACACAACACAUCAGGCACGUUAUUCGUAUUUGUGAUUGUCUACAUUUACCAUUCUUUGGAAUAUUGUGCUCCAAGAUAAUCUCUUUAACUCAUUUUUUUCCAGAUAUCACCAUCCAUAAAAUAAUACAUCCAGCAUUUUGAUCCCUCACCCUUUAUUUUUUCCAUAAAAUUUAUCCCUGUAGUUAUAUACCUGCUUAUUAAUUUGCCUUCACAAGUAAUGAAACUCAAUGAGGACAGAUUUUUGUUUUGUUCCCUGGUGUGUCUUUUAGCCUAAAGAACAUGCUUCGUAAAUAUUUAUUGAUUAAACAAAGGAAUGUGUAAAGAUGUACUUAAGUAAUUGGUUACUGUUCAUUUUGCUGGUUUUUGUUUCCACCUUUAGGUUUGAAAAUCUCAAAGUGAAUUUAGGUGAAUUAAAAGUCAUACAGCUCUCUAGUGGCUGAGAGUGUUAGGAAAAUUCCCUUGGGAAUUUCUUAAAUAAUGACAAAUUAAUAAUAAAUUAAUUAUUAAAGAAAGGAUGGGAUGGAAUGGGAAGCAGUGUAAUCUUUUUGAGGUAGCCGUAUUGCCAUAUUAUAUAAUUAAAAAAAAAAAAAGCUUCAAAGACACUAAAGUUUGAAACCUGUUGGCUUGACCUGAUGUAUUAUUUCUCCUCUUCCUCCUUUUAGGAUUUAAUCCUGAACUUGUAAAGAAUCUCUCAAAGCAUUUAUCAAUUUUCCACUUUCUCAAUUCAGUUUCUCCUGAAUUAGAUCCUUCCCAUUGGCUUAAUAAUAUUGGACAAAUCUCUCAUUGUGGAAAAAAUAACCACUGGCUCUUUCUUUAACACCUUUAUUUCAUUUCUAUGCCUAUUAGAUAUAAGAAGUGACAAACCCCAAGAUAGUGUGACCCUGGAAAAAGGAGUGAAAAAGAAAGCCAUAUACUGAUAGCAUUGAUCCUUUCACAAUACAUUCUUUCCCAGUGACAAAACAAGCCCUGGGGAGAAGGUGUCCAUCAAACCUGGAAUGACAGCUCCUGAGAAGAGACUUAAAUAUUGAUCUCUCCCAAAAUAAUUCCUUUCUAGAUGCUGGCCGCUGACCCUCCAACCCUCCAUCGUGCCCAGUAAAAACAAAUCCCAGAUGCUGACCGCUUACCCCAGACCCUACUUUGCCCAGUAAAAACAACAACAAAAAAUCAAAUUCCUGAGUGCCCAAACUGACAUGUUUAUUAAUUAAGUCACCUCUCAGUAUAACUUAUAUACUGGAGCUCAGAUUCCUCCUUUGGCCAGUGGCUUAUUUUCCAUCAGGAAAGUGGGUCUAUCAGUAGCGUCAUUCUGUGUUCCUGAAUAAAGGCUUUUGAUGAUCUGUGAAGUUUGCACCUGGCCUGCUCCUUUUGUGCUAACACUGCCUAGUUCCUUUAUUCUGAUUCCCUAUAUGUUCAUAUUUCCUUUCAAUUCUCUAUUAGUAUUUUCAUCUGUUUGCAUUGCCCAUUUGUCUUGGAUAUUAUUCACUUGUUAGAUUAGAUCCCUUACCAUAUUCAGGAAAGUUAUUUUAAAUCUGGUUGAACCGUUCUAAUAUUUCUGCUGUAUCUGAGUCUGGUUCUAAUGCUUAUUUUGUCUCUUCACACCAUUUUUUUUCCCUUUUGAUAUGCCUUACAAUUUUUUGUUGAAAAUAGAACAUAUUGUAUGGUGUAACAUGAACUGAGAUAAAUAGGCCUUCAGUGUGAGUUUUUAUUUUUGUGUGGCUAUGACUUUAUAUUUACUGUUUGUGGAAAGCUUUAGUUUCUUCUAGUGUUCUUGGUUUUAUCUCUUCUGUUUGUUUAAGUUUCCUUAGAGCCUCCUUCCUUUUAAGAUUAUACAUAACAGUCGAGUGUAUUUUGACAUACAUACAUGGAGUAUACUUUACAUUCUUUUGAUUAUACACGAUGUGGAGUUAAACUGUUCAUGUAUAUAUAUGAACGUGGAAAAGUUAUGUCUGAUUCAUUCUACUGUCUUUUUUUAUUCCCAUCCUCCCUCCCUCCCUUCCCUCAUUCACCUUUAUCUGAACCAGUAAACUUCUGUUCUUCUCUCCCUUGCCUCCAUGUUGUGUAUUAGUAUCUGCAUAUCAGAGAGAACAUUUGACCUUUGGUUUUUGGGGAUUGGCUUAUUUCACUUAAUGUGACAGUCUCUAGUUCCAUCCAUUUAUUAGCAAAUCCCGUAAUUUCAUUCUUCUUUAUGUCUGAGUAAUAAUAUUCCAUUGUGAAUGUAUACCACAUUUUCUUUAUCCAUUCAUCUGUUGAAGGGCACCCAAUUGGUUCCAGAGCUUAGCUAUUAUGAAGUAUGCUGCUAUAAACAUUGAUGUGGGUUCAUCACUGUUGUAUGCUGAUUUAAAGUCCUUUGGGUGUAUGCCAAGGAGUGGGAUAGUUGAGUCAAAUGUUAGUUUCAUUCCAAGUUUUCUGAGUGAUCUCCACACUGCUUUCCAGAGUGGUUGUACCAAUUUGCAGUCCCACCAGCAAUGUAUGAAUAUACCUUUUUCCCCACAUCCUGGACAACAAGUAUUGUUACUUAUAUUCUUGAUAAUUGCCAUUCUGACUGGAGUGAGAUGAAAUCUCAGUGUAGUUUUAAUUUACAUUUCUCUAAAUACUUGUGCUUUUGAACAUUUUUUCAUGUAUUUGUUGACCGAUUGUAUUUCUUCUGUGACGUGCCUGUUCAGUUCCUUAGCUCAUUUAUUUUUUAUUUUUUUUUAAUUUUUUAUUGUUGGCUGUUCAAAACAUUACAUAGUUCUUGAUAUAUCAUAUUUCACACUUUGAUUCAAGUGGGUUAUGAGCUCCCAUUUUUACCCCAUAUACAGAUUGCAGAAUCACAUCAGUUACACAUCCAUUGAUUUACAUAUUGCCAUACUAGUGUCUGUUGUGUUCUGCUGCCUUUCCUAUCCUCUACUAUCCCCCCUCCCCUCCCCUCCCCUCGCCUCUUCUCUCUCUGCCCCCUCUACUGACGUUCAUUUGUCCCCCUUGUAUUAUUUUUCCCUUUCCCCUCACUUCCUCGUGUAUGUACUUUUGUAUAACUCUGAGGGUCUCCUUCCAUUUCCAUGCAAUUUCCCUUCUCUCUCCCUUUCCCUCCCACCUCUCAUCCCUGUUUAAUGUUAAUCUUCUUCUCAUGCUCUUUGACCCUACUCUGUUCUUAGUUACUCUCCUUAUAUCAAAGAAGACAUUUGGCAUUUGUUUUUUAGGGAUUGGCUAGCUUCACUUAGCAUAAUCUGCUCUAAUGCCAUCCAUUUCCCUGUAAAUUCUAUGAUUUUGUCAUUUUUUAAUGCAGAGUAAUACUCCAUUGUGUAUAAAUGCCNGCAGAGCACAACAGACACUAGUAUGGCAAUAUGUAAAUCAAUGGAUGUGUAACUGAUGUGAUUCUGCAAUCUGUGUAUGGGGUGAAGGUGGGAGUUCAUAACCCACUUGAAUCAAAGUGUGGAAUAUGAUAUGUCAAGAAAUUUGUAAUGUUUUGAACAACCCACAAUAAAAAAUUAAAAAAAAAAAAUCAGAUGAUGGAAAAUAACUCCCAUAUUAUGGAGUAUAGUCAUUAUUACACAGACUUUAUUAUGAUAAGUAUAUACCAUAGUGUAAAAUAUGCCAAAUAAACCGUGUAUAUAUAUUUAGCAAAAAAAAAAAAAAAAAGAAAGAAACAAUAAGAGAGGUAAAUAGAGAGCCUACAUCCUGGGAACAAAUCUUUACUCCUCACACUUCAGAUAGAGCCCUAAUAUCCAGAGUAUACAAAGAACUCAAAAAAUUAGACAAUAAGAGAACAAACAACCCAAUCAACAAAUGGGCCAAGGACCUGAACAGACACUUCUCAGAGGAGGACAUACAAUCAAUCAACAAGUACAUGAAAAAAUGCUCACCAUCUUUAGCUCAUUUAUUGAUUGGGUUAUUUGAUUUUUUGUGUUAAGUUUUUGUGUUCUUUGUAUAUCCUGGAGAUUAAUGCUCUAUUUAAGGUGCAGGUGACAAAGAUUUUCUCCCGUUUUGUAGGCUCUCUGUUCACGUUCUUGAUUGUUUCCUUUGCUGUGAAAAAUCUUUUCAGUUUGAUACCAUUCCAUUUAUUUAUUCUUGCACUUUAGGAGUCUUGUUGAGGAAGUUGGUUCCUAAGCUGACAUAAUGGAGAGUUGGACCUACUUUUUCUUCUAGUAGGCUCAGGAUCUCUUGUCUGAUGCUUAGGUCCUUGAUCAACUUUGAGUUUUUUGCAGAUUUCAUUUUGUUACAUAUGGAUUUCCAGUUUUGCCAGCAUCAUUUGUUGAAGAGUCUAUCUUUUCUCCAGUGUGUGUUUAUGGCUCCUUUGUCUAGUAAGAGAUAACUGUGUUUAUGUGGGUUUGUCUUUGUGUCUUCUAUUCUGUACCAUGGGUCUGUUUUGGUGCCAAUAGCAUGCCAUUUUUAUUACCAUAGUAGAUAGAGCCUCCUUCUUAAGUGGAGUUUGAGCCUUGAGCCUUGUAGUUCUUUAGUGGUAAUUAAUUUAGUCCUAUUAACAGACCCCAGGUGUGGUGGUGGCAAGAUUUAGGGAGAAGGGGAUGUAUUCUGUAAUCCAACAACUAAAUCUUUUAGUGGGCCUUUAUCCCUGAGGUGUAAACUUUAUGAGUGUUUCUUAGCAUUUUUUUCUUCUCUUUAAUUGGGACAAGAUAACUAAUAGGUAUCAGAGUUGGGUAUAUUUUGAGAGAGGGUCUUACUGAGUUGCUUAGCGCCUCACUUUUGCUGAGGCUGGCCUUGAACUCAUGAUACUCCUGCCUCAGCCUCCAGAGCUGCUAGGAUUGCAGGCAUAUGCCACCGUGCCAGGCUAGAAUUGGGUAUUUUCUUUUCCUGCAUCCAUUAUGCUGUUGUAAAACCCAAGUUGGUUAAGUUCUUAAAAUAGUUUCCUUGAAGAUGGGCCUUUGUUUAGGAGAACAGAACAUUUUGUGUGUAUUUCAGAAUUGUUACUCCCCAUCCAUCUGCUGGAACCCUGAGGGAAUUUGUCUCUGAUUUUCAUCGGGAGAACUUGGUGAACUCAUGAAGGUGAAAAUGAAAGUAUGGGCCCCUCCAUAAUGCUGGAUCCCCAGUUUUUAUCUCUCAAGGUAGUCUGCACUCAGUCUUCAGUAAUUAGUAAAUUGUUCUUUAAGUUUUCCUACCACUACUUAUUCCAUUGGCAGUUUUUGCUUUCUGUACACUGCUAUUCUGUUUUCACCUACCUCUUUAAUUUUCAAUGUAGUUCUUUUCCCUAUGAUCUCAAUUUUCUGGUGGACCUAAACGGAAGUAGAAAACAAACAUCUUGUGCUGUAGCUCAGUGGUAGAGCACCCCUUGGUUCAAUCCUCAGUACCAUCAAAAAUAAAAAAGAUUACUUUCAAGGGCUUUACAUAUUGGACUGGAAGCCAAAAGAAAGUCUGUUCACUCCUUAAUUCUUAUCUGUUGUCACUAUUGCUUUUUAGAAACUACUCAAAGGAUUAUAACCUAAAUCAUAACCUAAAGAUUUCAAAGGUCACCAGAUUCAAUCUUUCUUUCCAUCUCUCUGAGCAUUUGACAAUAAUUGUCCUCCUGAAGAUUUUUUUUAAUUUCCUUAACCUUGGACUUUACUGGUUCAUUUAUUGCCUGCCUGAAUGCCUCCUAUCUGGUUCUUCUUUUUCUCUCCAGUUUUUUUCCUUGACCCUAUUACCUUCUCUUUGAGUCUUUAAAUUUUUAUUUUAUAAUUUUUAUCUCCUCAUUGUACUUUAGAAAUAAAACUAAUGAUCACCCUAACUCUGAAUUAGGUAGUGUUAUUAACCUUAAUUUACAGAGAAGUAAAGAAACAGACUAAGAAAUUUGCUCAAACACAUGGCCUAUGAGUUCUUGAUUAAAUUUGGGUAUUUCAAUUGUCAUUUUGGGAUUUAAAUUUUCUUGUGAAAUAUGACUAUUUUAUAUGUUACAAGUUAUAAUAAGAAUUGAAUUGAUCUUGCUUGUGCUUUUAAAAGGUCACUAUAUGUUGUGUGGAGAAUAGAUUUCAGGGGAUCCAGGUAAAGUAAAAAGACAGUUAAAAGAGCAUUGCAGUAAUCCAAAAAAGAUAAGAUUGUGUUUGGACCAGGAUAAUGGCAAUAAAGAUGAUGACAAUUGAGUGGAUUCUGGAUAUAUUUUUACUUUUUUUCACCUAAGCACCUGGGAGAACAGAAUAUCCUUAAGAAAAAAUGGGAAGGACUAUAAGAAGUAAAUUUCCUGAAAAGGGUGAAAUGGUAGUGGUGGUUAACACCAGGAAUUCAGUUUUGGACUUGCUAAAUUUCCUUUAUAGAUGUCAAGUAGGCAGGUAGGUAUAUGGUUUAGAGUUAUGUAUUAUGGAUUCAUUUUCACAUAAUGGCAUUUAAGUCAUAGCAUUGAAUGAGUUUAUUAGGCUAUGAAUAUAGAAAGAAAAGAGAAGUUUAAUGAUGAAGGCUACAGAAAAACUAAGAGGAAAACCAGGUAAAGGGAGUGUCCCACAAUCCAAGUUAAAAAAAAAAAAAGAAGGAACAGCUAGAUCAAAUGCUGCUAAUAAGUAAGAUAAGAAUAUUGAAAUGAUUAUUUGCUUUAGCGUUGAGGGUAGGUAUGGGGAGGUUUACUGUGAAUAAGAGCUUUUCUCUUGGUUUCUUCCAGAAGGAAUAGGUAAGACAGUAUAAACAGGAUUGGCUAUUUUGAAUGAUUUUAGUUGUUUUUGAGGCAUAGAGGCUAUCUAUUGGGCUGGCAAUUGACAGUGGAAUGAUUGGAACAAGUAUUGUGGUCCAGAAUGUGGGAUUUCAAAAGAGGUUGUCAGGAGUGUGGACUUGCGGUUGAUCGAUAUGUAUUUGAAAAAUCCCCUCCUAAGAGGAGGACUUCUGGGGCUGGGAGAUAUGAGGGAGGCAGGAAACCAAGGAACAGUGUAGCUUAGGCAUAUUUCCAUAUUGUCCAGAACAAGCUAUGUCUGACAUGUAGGGCACAUUUUUAAACAUCAGAUUUAUAGAAGCUAGAAACAUGGUUAAUACAGAGGUGCAAGGUUAAAGUAAGAGCAUGAUUGGAAUUCACCAUGGUUUUGGUUUUACCAGCAAGUGUUAUGACAUAAAAGAAGGGAAAAGGGGAUGAGAAUGUAAGAAAGGAAUGAUUAUAAUAAUUAACUAUCAACUAUGAUAACUUAAGAUCAAGAGAGAAGAGGUACAUAAGAGAAAAGCAUGGUAGCAUCUGGACUUAAAGAUCAUAAUAGAGUGGAAGGAUUGUUGAUGUUGUGGUUUAAGAGAGUGUUUAAACUGAAAAAAUAGGAAGUAAGCAUUGACCUUUCUAAAGACAAGGUCAAGCAUAUUGAUCAUCAGGGUAAGUGGUUGAAGUAGCAAUAUAACAUCAUUUAUGUAAGUUUUCUAAUAAGCUACGGUAGUAGAAGGAUUAGCUUUAUGGAUAUUGAAAUACUCAAUAAUUAUGGCAGGGAUAAUAUUGGAGAGAGAGCACCCAUGGAAGAAGAGAGACAGAAGUGAUGGUAUUAGAAUAUAGAUGGCCAUUGAAACCAGGUUUGGUGUAUAUAAUGAGAAAAUAGAUUGCUGAGGUUCAAGCCUGUUGUAAUAUAUGAAAGAGGAGUUUAUUAAAGGAAAAAUAGAACAUGAGGACUGGAUUUUGCAUCUUUUAUAUAUUUAUUUAUCUAUGUAUCUAUUUGUCUAUUUAUUUUGGUAGUUGGGCACAAUAAUUUUAUUUUCUUUCUUUAUUUUUAUGUAGUGUUGGGGAUUGAAACUAGUGCCUCACAUGUGCCAGGCAAGCGCUCUACCACUGAGCUACGACUCCAGCCCUGAGGACUGGACUUUGUAAAAAGGACCUUAGGGCAAAAAGUUAAGGAGAAAGAAAAAUAAGAGACUUGACGGUAGCAACAAAGGAAUGAUUCUACUGAUGUAUUGUGGAUUUUUGAAUUAGCUAGAAAUGAAGAGAAAUCUAAAAGAUUAAUUAGUAGAAAAUGGAAGAUCAGAGGUCUCAAGGAGGUUAAAGAAUAAGAAACUGGUGUCAUAGAAACCAAUUUGAGAAGUCAACUUUUCAUAAAGGGAAAUAGUCAACUGUCAGAUGCUACAAAGGUGAAGAGUGCCUUGAAUUCAACAAUUUGAAGGAAUGGAUGAUAUUAAUGAAAAAUUGGAACUAGAUAAGAGAAGCAAAAAAGUAGACAGGGUGGGACAUGAAGCUCAGUGGUAAAGUACUUGCCCAGGAUGCAUGCAGCCCUAGAUUUGAUCCCCAGCAUCACAGAAAAAAAAAGAAAAAGAGACAGUAUUAUUGACUAAUAUUUUAGAAAACUGAACUAUGAAAGGGAGAAGAGAUGUAUUAAUAGGUAGAGGAAGGCAUAGCUAAAGAAAAGAUGAGAUGAUUGAAUCAUGUUCAUGGGGAAAUAAUAUGAUUAAAAGACUUGGGAUUACUCAUGAAGAAGAGUUCCUUAGAAGAGACACAUUUCAAAACAUAGAUAAAAUAUUAGAAAUAUUAGUCUUAUAGAUUAUCAACUCUUAUUGAAUGAGGAAAAAAGAUAAGAAUAUAUUGAUGAGUUUGCAGGAAGCAGAAUUUUAAGCAGGUAGAGAAAAGAUAUGAAGGAAUUUUUACAUAAUUGAAACCCUUUUAUUUGUAUUGUCAGGAUAGUAUAGUCCUUAGAAAUGAAAUAGGGUAGGAUACUUGAACAUGUUUGAAAUAGUGUGCAAAUGGAAUUCAUUUUCACAUUAAUUUAAAAAGUAUGUAUUUAGCGCCUAUGAUAUAUUAGGCCCUAGGCUGUGUGCUAGGAACAUAGCAAUGAGUAUGACAGUUUCUACCCUAAAUGUGCCUACAUUCUAAGAAGAGUGGAAAACAAGAAACAAAAUGUCAAAUAGUGAUAACAAUGCUGUGAAGAAAAUAAAUAUGAAAACUGGAUUGAUAAUUGUCAUUUAAAGAUAUUUUAUUCUUGUUUUAUCUUUUAUGAUUAAAAAUUAAAAGUAUUAUUAAAAUGUUUUCUUUGGCAGAAUAUUUCCGUUUUAUAAGCUAAGGGAAGAUCAUCCUCAUUUUAUAGAAAACUGUAGUACAGAAUACUAGAAUGAAUAGAAAGUAGGUUCUGUUUUUAGGAAUUUACAGAGUAAAUCCUGCCGCAGUCUGGCUGGGCACAAUUCAGGAGCCACUUGUCAAAAGAAACGAACUUUAUUUUUAGAACCACACACACCAAACAAAACAGCUCCUCAGGAAAAACCUUCAGAGCCCAACUGCCAUUACUGGCUUCCCACAAGCCUCUCAACCUCCCCCACUCCUCCUGCUCUUGAGGCUGAUUGGCUGGGUUGUGUGGGCGGAGCCAAAAAAAGUCCCCCAAUGAGCAGCUCUGUGGUCUGAAAGGGCCGGGAAACAGCCCAAUGAGCAUCACUGCAGAGGAGCCAAUCAGUUGGCAGCUAGAAGUUUGCUGGGGCCGCUGUGAGCCAAUCAUCAACUGGCAGCUGGAAGUUUGCUGGCAGCUGGAAGUUUGCUGGGGCCCCUUCGGCUGUGGCUCUCAACACAAUCCAAAAGUAAAAUUCUUUCUUUCAGACACAAAUAUUUAGAUUAUAACUUUUCUUAUUAAAAAUCAUACAUUAUUUGGGGCUGGGGGCUCAGCGGUAGAGUACUUGCCUAGCAUAUGUGAGACACUGGGUUUGAUCCUCAGCAUCACAUAAAAAUAGAUAAAGGUAUUGUGUCCAACUAGAACUAAAAAAAUUUUUCAAAAAAUCAUUAUUUGUUCAGAUGGGAACAUGAUAUUCUUUCCUGUUUAAAUCUGCCUGUGUAACUGCAGAGUGUUUGUGCUUCCUGGGUGCCAGACACUUCUUAACCAUAAUACCAAAGUUAAUUCAUUUACUCAUAAGAAACUGUGAGUUAGAUACUAUUAUAAUCCCUGUUUUAUAAGUAAGAAUAUAAGACUCACAAAAGUCAGUACAGCCUUUGAAUCUUACAUCCUGUGUCAAAUCUCAACUCUUGUAAGAAUUUUUUCCCUAUUUAAGCCUCUGUGAUUUUACAUAAACUGUUAAUAGAGCACUUGGUUGCAUGCCUAUAAUCCUAGCAAUUUGGGAGGUUGAGGCAUAAGAAUGUUAAGUUGGAGGCCAGCUUCAGGAAUUUACUAAGACUCUGUCUCAAAAUUAAAAUAAAUGGACUAGGGAUCUACUCAGUAAUAAAGUACCCCCAGGGUUCCACCCUUGCACACACACACACCCCCAAAAUAAGUUAAUAGCAACUUUUUAGAGUUAUUGUGAGGAGAAAAGUCACAUAGUGUAUAUCAACUCUCUAGAACUAUGCUUAUGCAAAAUAAUCUCUCAAGCAGUUAUUUAUUUCAUGUUAUAUGGUUAGAUUAUUCAUGUUUAUAAAUGUAAGUGUACCUUUUUUGUUUGUAUUGAUUUUUCUUUUCAAUCAUGGAUCCUUGUAUUGUAUUGUCUUUUCCUGAUAUAGGAAUAAUGCCUCACUAUUACCAAGGAAGUCUAUUAGCUUUAAUGCCACAAGAAAAGCUCCAAACAAAGGAUAUAUUGGUGCAAAUCAAAGCAAAUUGACUGUAUCAAGAAACUUACUUAUUCCACCUGAAAUGAGAUCAAUAGAAAAAUUGAAUAUUCCCAACAUUAAGACAAUACAGGUAAUAUUC
rnacentral:lncRNA from 1 species